UACGUAGGGUGCGAGCGUUGUCCGGAAUUAUUGGGCGUAAAGGGCUCGUAGGCGGUCCAUCGCGUCGGGAGUGAAAAGCUGGGGCUUAAUCCCAGUCCUGCUUUCGAUACGGGUGGACUAGAGGUAGGCAGGGGAGAAUGGAAUUCCUGGUGUAGCGGUGAAAUGCGCAGAUAUCAGGAGGAACACCGAUGGCGAAGGCAGGUCUCUGGGCCGAUACUGACGCUGAGGAGCGAAAGCGUGGGGAGCGAACAGG
rnacentral:rRNA from 1 species